rnacentral:rRNA from 1 species
AGAGUUUGAUCAUGGCUCAGAUUGAACGCUGGCGGCGUGCCUAACACAUGCAAGUCGAGCGGUAACAGGUGUAGCAAUACAUGCUGACGAGCGGCGAACGGGUGAGUAAUGCUUCGGAAUCUGCCCAAUGGUGGGGAAUAACCAGCCGAAAGGUUGGCUAAUACCGCAUAAGUCCUACGGGGGAAAGCAGGGGAUCGCAAGACCUUGCGCCGAUGGAUGAGCCGAAGUCGGAUUAGCUAGUUGGUAGGGUAACGGCCUACCAAGGCGACGAUCCGUAGCUGGUCUGAGAGGACGACCAGCCACACUGGGACUGAGACACGGCCCAGACUCCUACGGGAGGCAGCAGUGGGGAAUAUUGGACAAUGGGGGAAACCCUGAUCCAGCGACGCCGCGUGUGUGAAGAAGGCCUGCGGGUUGUAAAGCACUUUUAGUGGGGAUGAAAAGCUCAGGGCUAACACCUCUGGGUCUUGACCUAACCCAAAGAAAAAGCACCGGCUAACUCUGUGCCAGCAGCCGCGGUAAUACAGAGGGUGCGAGCGUUAAUCGGAAUUACUGGGCGUAAAGCGUGCGUAGACGGUUAUGUAAGUCGGGUGUGAAAGCCCCGGGCUCAACCUGGGAAUUGCAUUCGAGACUGCAUAGCUAGGGUGCGGAAGAGGGAAGCGGAAUUUCCGGUGUAGCGGUGAAAUGCGUAGAUAUCGGAAGGAACACCAGUGGCGAAAGCGGCUUCCUGGUCCAGCACCGACGUUCAGGCACGAAAGCGUGGGGAGCAAACAGGAUUAGAUACCCUGGUAGUCCACGCCAUAAACGAUGAGAACCAGACGUUGAGAGGGUAAGCCUCCCAGUGUCGUAGCUAACGCGCUAAGUUCUCCGCCUGGGGAGUACGGCCGCAAGGUUGAAACUCAAAGAAUUGACGGGACCCGCACAAGCGGUGAGCAUGUGGUUUAAUUCGAUGCAACGCGAAGAACCUUACCUGGCCUUGACAUCCCAGGAUCCCGAAAAAAUUCG